GGGGGCGUUUUGGAUUCGACGCCGGUUACAAAACUUGUGGUGCAUGCCGAGAUGGUGACCAAUCUCGUUAAUCCAAAGUCGCAAACUUAU
rnacentral:tmRNA from 1 species